rnacentral:rRNA from 1 species
GGGGAAUAUUGCACAAUGGGCGAAAGCCUGAUGCAGCGACGCCGCGUGAGGGAUGGAGGCCUUCGGGUUGUAAACCUCUUUCGCUCAUGGUCAAGCCGCAACUGUGGGUUGUGGUGAGGGUAGUGGGUAAAGAAGCGCCGGCUAACUACGUGCCAGCAGCCGCGGUAAUACGUAGGGCGCGAGCGUUGUCCGGAAUUAUUGGGCGUAAAGGGCUUGUAGGCGGUUGGUCGCGUCUGCCGUGAAAUCCUCUGGCUUAACUGGGGGCGUGCGGUGGGUACGGGCUGACUUGAGUGCGGUAGGGGAGACUGGAACUCCUGGUGUAGCGGUGGAAUGCGCAGAUAUCAGGAAGAACACCGGUGGCGAAGGCGGGUCUCUGGGCCGUUACUGACGCUGAGGAGCGAAAGCGUGGGGAGCGAAC